UUGGACACUCAAGCUGGAGAUAAGGUCCACUUUCUUGAAGUAUGGAUAUCAAACAACAUCAGGAUUCUGCUAGCAGGAUCCCACCCUCAACAGUGCAAAAUGCCACCCAUCCACAAGACCCCCAUUCUCCAGACAGAACACAGCUCAGGACUCAGCCGGCGUGGGAGGAGCCACGGUUGCCUUGCUAAGGAUCUCAAGGCUGCCAUGACAGAAGAAAGGCCAUGUGAGGAUGAAGAAAGAAGGCAGCAGUCUGCAAGUGGGGAACAGGGGCCGCCCCAGAAAGCAACCUCCAUGGCACCUUGAUCUUGAACUUGUAGC